AUAAGAACUCCAUAGUUAAGCGUGCUUAGCCUGGAGUAAUUCUGGGAUGGGUGACCUUCUGGGAAGUUUUCUCGGAAAGUGUGCG
rnacentral:rRNA from 1 species